AAUUUUUUCAAAAAAGAAUACUAAAGUGACGGUCGCCAAAUCAACAGUAGACAAUCAACAAUUCAAGCCGCAAUUCCUUUUCCUGCCUGUGCCUGCCAACGCAUUACCGUCCAUCCCCUCUCUCUGUCUAAUCAUCUCUUUUUUCUUCUUCCUGAAAACGCUUGGAAGAAGCAAAAUAUUGCACGCCACUCUCUUCAAGUAUACUUUCUGAUCGGUGGUGCAUGCACACAAACAUCAAUUAUACACCAACUCAUGCAAGCACACCCUUCAAAUUCUAAGCAUAAAGAGGCUAGUUUUCCAAUUUUCUGAAACUCCUUUCAGCGUAUGAAGAUUUCUAGUCUUUAUCACUUCAUUUUCCCCUUGAACAAAAUUUAAACAUUCACAGGUAUGAGUGUGCGUUUAUUCGGCAUAUGAUACCACCCUUCUGCAUCCCCUUCCAGUUGGCAAAUGAAGAGACCAAACCUGAGCCUUUGAACCCCCAGGUAAUGCUAGAUCUGGGAUUUUAUAGAAUAUCAUAUAAUAUAUGGUGUUCCUCCCAAUAACAAUUACCAAGAAACGCGUUAGACUACUUGUUUACAUUUCGCUUGAUGACAAUGAAGGAGCAAUACAACUUCAAAAACCAUUUUAAAA
rnacentral:misc_RNA from 1 species